AAUGGGGGGAACCCUGACCGAGCAACGCCGCGUGAGUGAAGAAGGUUUUCGGAUCGUAAAGCUCUGUUGUAAGAGAAGAACGUGUGUGAGAGUGGAAAAUUCACACAGUGACGGUAACUUACCAGAAAGGGACGGCUAACUACGUGCCAGCAGCCGCGGUAAUACGUAGGUCCCGAGCGUUGUCCGGAUUUAUUGGGCGUAAAGCGAGCGCAGGUGGUUGUAUAAGUCUGAAGUAAAAGGCAGUGGCUCAACCAUUGUGUGCUUUGGAAACUGUACAACUUGAGUGCAGAAGGGGAGAGUGGAAUUCCAUGUGUAGCGGUGAAAUGCGUAGAUAUAUGGAGGAACACCGGUGGCGAAAGCGGCUCUCUGGUCUGUAACUGACACUGAGGCUCGAAAGCGUGGGGAGCAAA
rnacentral:rRNA from 1 species